ACCUGGCCAAGCAAGGGCGAUGAUAUUAGAGCCUUCAACCAGGAGCUGCUGCUGGGCCUCACGCCUGCCGAGAGAAGCCCGUCUAACUGACCCCAUCUCCUGUGCCAACUACAUGGUGAGGCUUGUAGCUUUUUCUGUUCAAAGAGAGGGUCUCAUGCAGCUCAAGCUGGCCUUGAACUCAUUAUGUAGCUCAGGCUGGCCUUGAACUCAUGACCCUCUUAUUUCUUACCUCCCAAAUGCUGGGAUUAUAGCUAUGUUUCAUCAUGGCCAGCUUCUUAUUUCUCUUUAUUGCCUAACCUAACACAGUGUCAAGCACUCAAAAAUACCCAAUAAAUGCUUAAUAAAUGACUAGAUACCCUAAGUGUACAAAAAUAAGCAUUCAACCCUGGUAAGCCAGGUAAAUAUUAUGAUCUGGGUGAAUACAGAGCAGUGGUUCUCAACCUUCCUAAUACUGUGACCCUUUAAUGCAGUUCCUCCUGAUGUGGUGUCCUCCAACCACACAAUUAUCUCAUUGCUCUUCAUAACUGUAAUUUUGCUACUGCUAUGAAUUGUAAAUAUGUUUCCCAAUGGCUUUAGGCAACCCCUGUGAAAGGGUUGUUUGACACCCCCAAAAGGGGACAUGACCCACAGGUUGAGAACCACUGAUAGAGAUGUUUAUUGGGCUAGCCUAGUUAAAGUUUCAAACUUCUCGAGGUAACUCCCAUUCCUAGCUUCUCCAUGUUUAUCUGUCUCUUAUUUUUCAAGCCCCCCCCCAUGCAAUAAUGAAGAAAAACUGAUUAGAUUAAGAUCUUCCAUCUCCAGACAGUUAUCUUCUCAGUGACUUUCCCUACUUCCUUUUUGUAGUGACGGCUGAAGAGAUGGAGAUGGAAAGUACCAGAAUUGUUUAGAGGGGCUUUCCCAACCCAUAUCUGAUCUCUACCCUAUAGCUGAUGUUCCAUUAAUCACCUGCCCUUGCUCCCAGUCUCAAGCCAAUCAAAUCAGACCCACUUUUGAAACAAGCCAAGAUUUCCAAUCAACACAUGUAUGAUCUGCAUUUUACACAGCUUGAAAAGAUUUCAAUCUGGCAGGAACCUGAACAACUCAACAGCUCAAGCUGGCCUCCAAAAGGUGCCCUUGGAGGCCAGAAGAGAGAAGUGGACCCCUGGAGUUGGAGUUCUAGGUGGUUGGGAACUGAACUGGAUCCACAGGAAGAGAAAAACAGCACUCUUCAAACAGAUUACCAGUUUUAAAAAGGAGUUCUGGCCAGGGGUGGUGUGUGUGUGUGUGUGUGUGUGUGCGUGCGUGCGUGCGUGCGUGCGUGCGUGCGGUGAGUUGGAGUGUCUUCUUUGAUCACUCUCCACCAUAUAAAUUGAGGCAGGGUCUCUUACUGAACCCAGAUCUACUCCUUUUGACAGUCUGGCUACCUAGGCAGUCCCUGACUCCAGUUCAUGAGUGCUAGGGUUACAGGUAGACCAGCACCCACCUGCAAUUUCUGUGGGUUUUGGAGAGCCACACUCAGCUCUUCAUGCUUGCUAAGCCAUCUCUCCAACCCUCUUGACUUUUCAUUUUAUUCUUUUAU